rnacentral:lncRNA from 1 species
UUCUUCGCUUGUGUAGGAACCGCCAGACCCAAGGGACCUGACUACCGCUUCCCUGGCUUCGGAUGCUUCCAUCAUCGGCGCCCUUAUCGACGUGAUAUACCGGAGAAGAUUCGGUGCGAGCGCCCAUGGCUACACAGUCCAUGCUGCAUGUGCGUCAUCGUGGGAGCAGCCAAUCCAGGCAGGCGUCACCGGGCGACUACGCUUAAAAAGCCAACGCCGAUUGUGAACGAGCGCAGUCCGGCGGAGUACGUGAGCGCCGCAUAACGCUCUUUCUUCGCUUGUGUAGGCUGCUUAAGGUGGUGAAGAUGU